rnacentral:rRNA from 1 species
AAUCAACGCUGGCGGCGUGCCUCAGACAUGCAAGUCGAACGAUUAAAGCUCUCUUCGGAGAGUGUAUAGAGUGGCGCACGGGUGAGUAACACGUAAGUAAUCUACCCUCGAGUGGGGAAUAACAACCGGAAACGGUUGCUAAUACCGCAUAAUGCAGCGGCACCGCAAGGUGACAGUUGUUAAAGAUUUAUCGCUUGAGGAGGAGCUUGCGGCAGAUUAGCUAGUUGGUAGGGUAACGGCUUACCAAGGCUACGAUCUGUAACCGGUCUAAGAGGACGGUCGGUCACACUGACACUGAAUAACGGGUCAGACUCCUACGGGAGGCAGCAGUCGGGAAUUUUGGGCAAUGGGCGAAAGCCUGACCCAGCAAUGCCGCGUGAAGGAUGAAGUAUUUCGGUAUGUAAACUUCGAAAGAAUAGGAAGAAUUAAUGACGGUACUAUUUAUAAGGUCCGGCUAACUACGUG